CUGCAGCUGCGGCUGCGGCUAGCUAAUCUAGCCUAGCCUAGCUAGCACCAAGUUGCUGCUCGAUCAUGUCUAGUUGGGCUGCCCCCGCCUGCCUGCCUGCCCGGUUGCUGGUGCAAGAUACCGAGGAGGCGGACGGGAAGGGGACGGUGAGGUGACAUAGACAUACACCCCCCCGGCCCCCGCCGUCGGCGACCUGCCUCCUGUCCAGCCUAUAAGUAGGCGGCCAUGCGCUAGCUGCGACAGACAAGAGAGAGAGAGAGACACCCACACCCACACCCACACAAGAAGGGAAGCGACUGAGCAUCCAAGGUAAGGUCGUUGUUGGUUGCAAUGGCCGGCUGCGGAGGCAAGGAUGGCCUGUACGCCGUGCUCGGCGUCUCCAGCGACUGCUCCGACGCAGAGCUGCGCAGCGCCUACAGGAAGCUCUCCAUGAAAUGGCACCCGGACAAAUGCGGCUCCGGCGGCGUGGAGGCUCCGGCUAGCUGCGACAGACAAAUGAGGAGACAUACUGGGAGACAUCCUGGAGGCCAUGAACCACACACCCCCACACGUAAGUGAGAGUCAAGUCACGCUGCUGCUGCUGCUGCUGCUGCUUAUAGUUAUACCAGUAGAUAUCAUGAAGGAAGACGGCGACGGCGAGAGCUCGGACGAUCUGCACAAGCAGUUCGAGGAGCUCUUCCUCAAGCCCGACGCAGCCUACUCCUCCUCCUCCUCCUCCUCCUCCUCCAAGACAAGGGCCGCCGGCAGGAAGUAGGCUCCCAAGAUGAAUGAAUCAUCUUCAUGCGUGGUCGUGGAGAUUUCAUCCGUCAGAAUAGAUCAUGUCAUGCUAGGCUAUUGCUAGCUAUCCACGGAGAAUGACCCAAAUUAAUGUUGAAUGUUCAGCUAGAGUAGCAUAAUACGUAUAGCCUAGUAGUCACUAAAUGAAAAAUUUAUUUAGGCGUCAUGCAUCCACACCUGCCUAGACUAUGAUUUUCCACCUAGCUUGUGAUUGUGAUUUCUAAUACGACUAUGCGUGAAUUCAAUAACAUUU